rnacentral:misc_RNA from 1 species
AAGUCGUAACAAGGUUUCCGUAGGUGAACCUGCGGAAGGAUCAUUAACACUUUUGCAUUUUAUUGAAAAAUUCAAUUUUUCAAUAAUUUACUUUACCCACAUUUUUGGAUGAAUUAACUUUUAUUAACCCUUUAUAAUUUUUAUACCCCAAAAACAAAACUAAUACUUCUUAUUUCUAACAUUUAUUUAAAAGAAAAACAUAAAAAACAACUCUUAACAACGGAUAUCUAGGCUCUC